rnacentral:rRNA from 1 species
UACGUAGGCCGCGAGCGUUGUUCGGAAUUACUGGGCGUAAAGAGUGUGUAGGCGGUGCUCUAAGUUCGGUGUGAAAUCUCCCGGCUUAACUGGGAGGGUGCGCCGGAAACUGGAGUGCUCGAGCGUGGGAGAGGAAAGCGGAAUUCCUGGUGUAGCGGGGAAAUGCGUAGAUAUCAGGAGGAACACCUGCGGUGUAGACGGCUUUCUGGACCAUUGCUGACGCUGAGACACGAAAGCGUGGGUAGCAAACAGG